GUUAAAGCGUUGAUAAGGAUUAGUACAUUCAAUUCUCUGUUCAGAGAGCCGGUGGUAGGUGUGAAUCGGUCUGAGAUUGUCUGGAAUCCACCUUUGAGCAGAGAAUGAACGUUAUAUGUGAAAUUCUCUCGACUAGCAAUCGUUAUUUGCUAAAGUGGUAUGUUGAUUCAACAUGCAACAAGGGUGGCAACGCGGGUGCUCUCGUCCCUUCU
rnacentral:ncRNA from 1 species